GCUUAACACAUGCAAGUCGUGGGGCAGCGCGAGGUAGCAAUACUUUGGCGGCGACCGGCAAACGGGUGCGGAACACGUACGCAACCUUCCUCAAAGCGGGGGAUAGCCUCUCGAAAGAGAGAUUAAUACCCCAUAGUAUCGUCAGAUGGCAUCUGAAGACGAUUAAAGCUCCGGCACUUUGAGAUGGGCGUGCGGCUGAUUAGGUAGUUGGUAGGGUAACGGCCUACCAAGCCGACGAUCAGUAGCUGAUGUGAGAGCAUGAUCAGCCACACGGGCACUGAGACACGGGCCCGACUCCUACGGGAGGCAGCAGUGAGGAAUAUUGGUCAAUGGAGGCAACUCUGAACCAGCCAUGCCGCGUGAAGGAUGAAGGUCUUCUGGAUUGUAAACUUCUUUUAUAGAAGAAGAAACCCCAUUUUUCUAAGUGGGUUGACGGUACUCUAUGAAUAAGCACCGGCUAACUCCGUGCCAGCCGCCGCAGUAACAC
rnacentral:rRNA from 1 species